rnacentral:rRNA from 1 species
CAGCAGGCGCGCAAAUUACCCAAUCCCGACACGGGGAGGUAGUGACAAUAAAUACUGAUACAGGGCUCUUUUGGGUCUUGUAAUUGGAAUGAGUACAAUUUAAAUCCCUUAACGAGGAACAAUUGGAGGGCAAGUCUGGUGCCAGCAGCCGCGGUAAUUCCAGCUCCAAUAGCGUAUAUUAAAGUUGUUGCAGUUAAAAAGCUCGUAGUUGAACCUUGGGCCUGGCUGGCCGGUCCGCCUCACCGCGUGCACUGGUCCGGCCGGGCCUUUCCUCCUGGGGAGCCGCAUGCCCUUCACUGGGUGUGCCGGGGAACCAGGACUUUUACUUUGAAAAAAUUAGAGUGUUCAAAGCAGGCCUAUGCUCGAAUACAUUAGCAUGGAAUAAUAGAAUAGGACGUGUGGUUCUAUUUUGUUGGUUUCUAGGACCGCCGUAAUGAUUAAUAGGGAUAGUCGGGGGCAUCAGUAUUCAAUUGUCAGAGGUGAAAUUCUUGGAUUUAUUGAAGACUAACUACUGCGAAAGCAUUUGCCAAGGAUGUUUUCAUUAAUCAGUGAACGAAAGUUAGGGGAUCGAAGACGAUCAGAUACCGUCGUA